UCAGCCAUGCCGCGUGAGUGAUGAAGGCCUUAGGGUUGUAAAGCUCUUUCACCGGUAGAAGAUAAUGACGGUAUCCGGAGAAGAAGCCCCGGCUAACUUCGUGCCAGCAGCCGCGGUAAUCAGCCGGGGGCUAGCGUUGUUCGGAAUUACUG
rnacentral:rRNA from 1 species